AAAGCAAAAGAAGAAGAGACAGCGCGUUGUGUUAGAAUAUUUUUAAUUUCGCCGCGUGCAGGUACAGUGGAAAGUUUUUGAAAUAAAUAAAGUUGUAUUUAAAGAUAAUAUGUGUAGGAAUUAGUUGCAGAAAAGCUAAUGAACAGACCAUAUAGACACAUAUACACCUAAAAGUGAAUGAAGUGAAAGCUUUAUGAAAUAUUUCACCUCACAUCCUCCUGGAGACAUUAGUUAAAGUGUACAGCGUCUGUGAACAUGAACUAAUGUGUAUAAAGAUUCAGACGUAGCUAUAGAAUUACAGAAACAAAUGAUUUUUUUUGUCCUGAUUUUAGUGUCCUGACUUACACCAUUCACCCCAGUCAUGCACACAAUAAGACCAAUUACUUAAAAUAUUUGUAAACUAACAUUAUUUUUAUAUUAUUCAUGUUUUUUUUUUUUUACUCACUAAAGCUCAAUUGAUGAAGGAAGAGUAAGCUAUCUUAAGAAAGUCAAUAAUAUUCAAAAACCGGGAGAAAGAAUAAAAGCUGGAGAAAUGCAGUGCCAAAAGAGGAGAAGAGACAAGAAAAUAACAUUUGAGGAGGAGAAAGCAGAAAGAGAGAGAGAGAGAUCCAAAUAAAAUAAAAAAGGAGAGAGAUGCAAAGAAAAAUACAAAAAGAGAAAAGUAAACAUAGUGAUGACAGAAGAGAAACAGUGAAAUGCAUUUAAAGGAUAGGAAGGAGAAAAGAAACCAGUCGAGGAGCAGGAGAAAUACAUAAAAAUAAAAGAAUUAAAGGGACAGAAGAAGAAAACGGACAAACAGUGAAGAAGAGUAAGACCGAGACAAAGAGGGGACUGCAGGGGUAAAGAUAAGAGGACUGUUGUAGACAUCCAGAUAAGAUCGCUGUGGGAUGACAAGGGAAGGGACGUUUAACAAUCUAAAGGUUAUGGAGAGAUGUGUGGGCAGCAGUGACGAGCAUCUACUACAAUGUCUGAUACUACCAGAAAGAAGAGAGUUUCCUCAACAUUUCCAGUGUUUUCAGCUCUUUUGUUACCACUACAGUACAUGUUCCUCCCACAAGAUGACUUGGACGCCUUCUGAAAAGGCUGGGAUGAUCAUCCCAUAAGAACAGACACCUGAUCAGCUAAUGUCCAGUCCAUAAAGAAGAACACAGUCUUGGGAGCAGUUCUGCAUACAUGAGCCUUCAGCAGUUUUACGACCAUGAACAGGGAUUAUACUAAGGAAUGUGUUUGCUGAUGGCGCAGCGUGUCGAUGUCAAAGAAAGAAAACACUCUGUUCUCAUGCACACAGAAUAUCAUGAAACAAAUGAAAUAUUCCCUACAUCUGGUCAGCGCUAAAAUUAACUAUUGCUCCCAAAUACUGUAUGGAUAUGCUAUCUUUUAACCAUAACUAGCCACUGCAUGUCUACAUUCUUUCUAUAUAUAAUCUGUACAUUUACUACAGUACACUUACUUUAUAUCUCGUUUUAAGAGGAUAUAAUUUUUUACAACUAGAAGCAGAGUUGGGGUUAAUAUAUUACAAAGUAGUACAUUACUUUAAUUAGUGGUAUAUUUAUUUGUAAUGGAUUAAUGUAAUGCAUUACUUUUCCUAAAGUCAGUAUUUACAUUACAGUUAAUAAUCGAGGAACUUGCUUUACAUAGCUUCUUCAGUUAUCUACAUAAUGGCAUCUGCUGACUAAUGGGUAAAUUGAUUUUCUUCACUACAGCGGGCUAUAGGAUGCAGCACUUCAGCAGUGAGAAAGACUUAGGUUUUAAAUGUAACAUAAUUAUAUUUAACUUUAUAAUAAAUACACAGGAAAUAAGUAACUAAUUUUAUGCAAUUUAAUUGCCAUACAACUAUAAGUAUAUAGUAUUAGUCAUUUUUUCUUCAAAACCUGAAGAUUUUGUACAGAGGUGGACACCCUGGCCAGGGGUCGAGCGUGCGGCUCCAGGGCCACAUGUGUCUUUUUUAUCCCUCUUCUCCCUGUGGCUUUGGAAAAAAAAAUGAGUAUUACAAAUUUUUUUAUGUAAUUCUAAAUUUAUGGUGAUCUUGUAACAUUAACCUCUUAAGGCCCAAGCUGUAUUUUUUACAUGCAUUUUUUAUUUCUCUUUGCUAUUUUGCUAUUAUGCAAAUUUCUCUCUCUUUUUUGAUAUGAUGUACUUUUAGAGAAAAAUUAUGUCCAUAUAUGUGGAUUCUUGGUCCGAAUUUCCAUAAAACAUAAUAAAGUCA